UGGGGAAUAUUGCACAAUGGGCGCAAGCCUGAUGCAGCCAUGCCGCGUGUGUGAAGAAGGCCUUCGGGUUGUAAAGCACUUUCAGCGAGGAGGAAGGGUUCAGUGUUAAUAGCACUGUUCAUUGACGUUACUCGCAGAAGAAGCACCGGCUAACUCCGUGCCAGCAGCCGCGGUAAUACGGAGGGUGCAAGCGUUAAUCGGAAUUACUGGGCGUAAAGCGCACGCAGGCGGUUUGUUAAGUCAGAUGUGAAAUCCCCGCGCUUAACGUGGAACUGCAUUGAAACUGGCAAGCUAGAGUCUUGUAGAGGGGGGUAGAAUUCCAGGUGUAGCGGUGAAAUGCGUAGAGAUCUGGAGGAAUACCGGUGGCGAAGGCGGCCCCCCUGGACAAAGACUGACGCUCAGGUGCGAAAGCGUGGGG
rnacentral:rRNA from 1 species